GACGAACGCUGGCGGCGUGCCUAAUACAUGCAAGUUGAGCGAUGAAGAUUGGUGCUUGCACCAAUUUGAAGAGCAGCGAACGGGUGAGUAACGCGUGGGGAAUCUGCCUUUGAGCGGGGGACAACAUUUGGAAACGAAUGCUAAUACCGCAUAAUAACUUUAAACAUAAGUUUUAAGUUUGAAAGAUGCAAUUGCAUCACUCAAAGAUGAUCCCGCGUUGUAUUAGCUAGUUGGUGAGGUAAAGGCUCACCAAGGCGAUGAUACAUAGCCGACCUGAGAGGGUGAUCGGCCACAUUGGGACUGAGACACGGCCCAAACUCCUACGGGAGGCAGCAGUAGGGAAUCUUCGGCAAUGGACGAAAGUCUGACCGAGCAACGCCGCGUGAGGGAAGAAGGUUUUCGGAUCGUAAAAAUCUGUUGGUAGAGAAGAACGUUGGUGAGAGUGGAAAGCUCGUCAAGUGACGGUAACUACCCAGAAAGGGACGGCUAACUACGUG
rnacentral:rRNA from 1 species